rnacentral:rRNA from 1 species
GACGAACGCUGGCGGCGUGCUUAACACAUGCAAGUCGAACGGAAAGGCCCUGCUUUUGUGGGGUGCUCGAGUGGCGAACGGGUGAGUAACACGUGAGUAACCUGCCCUUGACUUUGGGAUAACUUCAGGAAACUGGGGCUAAUACCGGAUAGGAGCUCCUGCUGCAUGGUGGGGGUUGGAAAGUUUCGGCGGUUGGGGCUGGACUCGCGGCUUAUCAGCUUGUUGGUGGGGUAGUGGCUUACCAAGGCUUUGACGGGUAGCCGGCCUGAGAGGGUGACCGGCCACAUUGGGAAUGGGAUACGGCCCAGAGUCCUACGGGAGGCAGCAGUGGGGAAUAGUGCACAAUGGGCGGAAGCAUGAUGCAGCAACGCCGCGUGCGGGAUGACGGCCUUCGGGUUGUAAACCGCUUGCGCCUGUGACGAAGCGUGAGGGACGGUAAUGGGUAAAGAAGCACCGGCUAACUACGU